rfam:Triticum urartu cultivar G1812 contig1020698, whole genome shotgun sequence.
GGUUUCGUAGUGUAGUGGUUAGCACUCCAGACUUUGAAUCUGGUGACCUGGUUUCAAAUCCAGGCGAGACCU